GAUGAACGCUGGCGGCGUGCCUAAUACAUGCAAGUCGAGCGGACAGACGAGGCGCUUGCGCCUCUGACGUUAGCGGCGGACGGGUGUGUAACACGUGGAUACCCUCCCUGUAAGACUGGGAUAACUUCGGGAAACCGGCGCUAAUACCGGAGAAUAUCUUGAACCGCAUGGUUCAAUAGUAAAAGACGGUUUUGCUGUAACUUCUAGAUGGUUCCGAGCCGCAUUAGGUAGUUGGUAGGGUAAAAGGUUUACAAGGCAACGCUGCGUAACCGAGCUGACGGGGUGGUCGGCCACCCUGGAACUGAGACACGGUCCAUAGUCCUACGGGAGGCAGCAGUAGGGAAUCUGCCGCAAUGGGCGAAAGCCUGACGCAGCAACGCCGCGUGAGUGAUGAAGGUCUUCGGAUCGUAAUACUCUGUUAUUAGGGAAGAACAAAUGUGUAAUUAACUAUGCACGUCUUGACGGUAACUAAUCAGAAAGCCACGGCUAACUACGUG
rnacentral:rRNA from 1 species